rnacentral:rRNA from 1 species
AGUUCCGUAACUUCGGGAGAAGGAACGCCCAAGUAAAGUGAUUAAUUAACUUUAUAAGCUUGAAAGGGCCGCAGUGAUCAGACUCAAGCGACUGUUUAUCAAAAACACAGGAGGAUGCAAAGUUCUAAUACAACGUAUAUCCUCUGACACCUGCCCGGUGCUGGAAGGUUAAGUGGAGAGGUUAGCUUCGGCGAAGCUUUGAAAUUAAGCCCCAGUAAACGGCGGCCGUAACUAUAACGGUCCUAAGGUAGCGAAAUUCCUUGUCGGGUAAGUUCCGACCUGCACGAAUGGUGUAACGAUUUGAGUACUGUCUCAACCAUAGACUCGGCGAAAUUGCAAUGUGAGUAAAGAUGCUCACUAUGCGCGACAGGACGGAAAGACCCCGGAACCUUUACUGCAACUUGAUAUUGAUGUUUGGUAUGCAGUAUGCAGGAUAAGUGGGAGACUUUGAAGCAUUCACGCUAGUGGAUGUGGAGUCAUCCUUGAGAUACCACUUUCUUCAUAUUGAGCUUCUAACCUAGAUCCGUAAUCCGGAUCAGGGACAUUGUCUGGUAGGCAGUUUCACUGGGGCGGUGGCCUCCAAAAAAGUAACGGAGGCGCUCUAAGGUCACCUCAGCGUGGACGGCAAUCACGCAUUGAGUGUAAGUGCAAAAGGUGGCUUGACUGUGACACAAACAAGUGAAGCAGGUACGAAAGUAGGAACUAGUGAUCCCAUGGUUGCAUGUGGGUGCGCCAUGGCUCAUCGGCUAAAAGGUACUCCGGGGAUAACAGGCUUAUACCCCCCAAGAGUCCAUAUCGACGGGGGUGUUUGGCACCUCGAUGUCGGCUCUUCUCAUCCUGGGGCUGGAGCAGGUCCCAAGGGUUAGGCUGUUCGCCUAUUAAAGAGGAACGCGAGCUGGGUUCAGAACGUCGUGAGACAGUUCGGUCCCUAUCCGUCGCGCACGUAAGAAAUUUGAAGAAAGUUGUCCCUAGUACGAGAGGACCGGGAUGAACGAUCCGCUGGUGUGCCAGUUGUUCUGCCAAGAGCACGGCUGGUUAGCUACGAUCGGAAAGGAUAAGCGCUGAAAGCAUCUAAGUGCGAAGCCCCUUCUAAGAUAAGAUUUCUCAUCGGGUUAACCGAUUAAGACUCCUUAUAGAACAUGAGGUUGAUAGGUCAGAAGUGUAAGUACAGUAAUGUAUGUAGCUGACUGAUACUAAUAAGUCGAGGGCUUGAGCUG